AGAUAGAAAGUUACUUCGGUACAUCGGUGACAGGUGGUGCAUGGUUGCCGUCAGCUCGUGUCGUGAGAUGUUGGGUUAAGUCCCGCAACGAGCGCAACCCCUAUUGUUAGUUGCCAUCAUUCAGUUGGGCACUCUAGCGAGACUGCCGGUAAUAAACCGGAGGAAGGUGGGGAUGACGUCAAAUCAUCAUGCCCCUUAUGACCUGGGCUACACACGUGCUACAAUGGUUGGUACAACGAGUUGCGAGUCGGUGACGGCGAGCUAAUCUCUUAAAGCCAAUCUCAGUUCGGAUUGUAGGCUGCAACUCGCCUACAUGAAGUCGGAAUCGCUAGUAAUCGCGGAUCAGCACGCCGCGGUGAAUACGUUCCCGGGCCUU
rnacentral:rRNA from 1 species